rnacentral:rRNA from 1 species
UGAGGAAUAUUGGUCAAUGGGCGAGAGCCUGAACCAGCCACGUCGCGUGAAGGAAGACUGACCUUACGGUUUGUAAACUUCUUUUGUAGAGGGGUAAUGGCAGAUACGUGUAUUUGCGUGAAAGUACUCUACGAAUAAGCAUCGGCUAACUCCGUGCCAGCAGCCGCGGUAAUACGGGGGAUGCGAGCGUUAUCCGGGAUUAUUGGGCGUAAAGCGCGCGCAGGUGGUUUAGAAAGUCUGAUGUGAAAGCCCACGGCUCAACCGUGGAGGGUCAUUGGAAACUAAUAAACUUGAGUGCAGGAGAGAAAAGUGGAAUUCCUAGUGUAGCGGUGAAAUGCGUAGAGAUUAGGAGGAACACCGGUGGCGAAAGCGGCUUUUUGGCCUGCAACUGACACUGAGGCGCGAAAGCGUGGGGAGCAAACAGG